GUUCUGUCAAUGCCAUUUCAUUCUCGUUUCAUUUUUUCAUUUUUCAUGACGUCAUUUAGCCAUUUUUAUGACGUUACAAUGAUGUCAUGUAUAUAUAGCUAUCAUAUCUGAAUUUUUCUGUUCGUUAAUCAAUCCGUUGGGGGUUUUUUUUUGUUGUUGUUGUUUUAAAUGUUUCACACUUUGUCAUUUCGGAUCCUUACUGUACGAUAUGGGUUUUGCUCGUCAUUGUUGAAGGUCUUGAAGGCCGUACGGUGGUUUACGAUUUCAUUCAUCACGUCAAUUGGUCUCAAAGAAGAUGUUUAAUAAUUGCUACAUUGGUAAUCAUACCAUAUCUUCUUAU
rnacentral:lncRNA from 1 species